rnacentral:rRNA from 1 species
CCUACGGGUGACAGCAGUGAGGAAUAUUGGUCAAUGGGCGAGAGCCUGAACCAGCCAAGUCGCGUGAAGGAUGACGGCCCUACGGGUUGUCAACUUCUUUUGUCAGGGAGCAAUUGGGUCCACGCGUUGGCUUCGCUAGAGUACCUGAAGAAAAAGCCUCGGCUAACUCCGUGCCAGCAGCCGAGGUCAUACGGAGGAUCCGAGCGUUAUCCGGAUUUAUUGGGUUUAAAGGGAGCGUAGAUGGGUUGUUAAGUCAGUUGUGAAAGUUUGCGGCUCAACCGUAAAAUUGCAAUUGAUACUGGCAGGCUUGAGUACAGUUGAGGUAGGCGGAAUUCGUGGUGUAGCGGUGAAAUGCUUAGAUAUCACGAAGAACCCCGAUUGCGAAGGCAGCUUACUAAACUGUGACUGACAUUGAUGCUCGAAAGUGUGGGUAUCAAACAGGAUUAGAUACCCUUGUAGUC